rnacentral:rRNA from 2 species
ACAUGCAAGUCGAGCGCGAAAGGCCUUCGGGUUGAGUAGAGCGGCGGACGGGUGAGUAACGCGUAGGAAUCUACCUGGUAGUGGGGGAUAACUUGGGGAAACUCAGGCUAAUACCGCAUACGCCCUAAGGGGGAAAGCGGGGGAUCUUCGGACCUCGCGCUAUUGGAUGAGCCUGCGUAGGAUUAGCUUGUUGGUGAGGUAAAGGCUCACCAAGGCGACGAUCCUUAGCUGGUCUGAGAGGAUGAUCAGCCACACCGGGACUGAGACACGGCCCGGACUCC